rnacentral:sRNA from 1 species
GGCCCGGGUUCGAAUCCUGGUCACGUGAUCUCGUGUGUACAUCUUAUCUCUAACGUCUGCCGCGCAACAAAUAAAAUCUUCAAUUCCAAAGAGCUCCUUUACCGUUAAAGAAACGAAUCAAAGAUGUCUCUUAAACUAAUGUUCAUUGUAGUUCUGUUUGCUUUGGUGAUUUCCCCCCAAUACGCCCAGGCAGCGUGCGCUGACUUUUGUAUAGAGUUAUACUCCCCUGUCUGUGGAUCAGACGGCAAGACCUACAGUAACACUUGCUUCUUGAAUGCCGCUUCUUGCCAUGCAGGAGGCACCAUCAAGUUAGUCAGUCACGGGACCUGCUCUGGAAGUGGCGGGGCAAUACUCCUGUAGGCUGUGUACCAUGAGCUUUCGAGAAGGGCUUCACUCUUUCAGUAGAUAUUAGUCAUGAAUUAGUCAUUAAAUUUAAAAACAUAACAA